rnacentral:tRNA from 1 species
GGUGACAUGGUCUAGCUUGGAAUGAUUUCUGCUUAGGGUGCAGGCGGUCCUGGGUUCGAGUCCCAGUGUCACCC